AAAACAGAAAUACGCGUAGAAAGGCAGUGCCGGGGGAAUUUCAUUCACCGGAAAUACCACCAGGAUACCAGAAAUUAAGGUUUAUGGUUGGCAAAUUCGACCUACUAGAAGAAGAAUGAGAAGAAAGAAUAAAUGACUUAGCCAGCCGCAGAUUAAGAACACAUGCGUCUUCCAAGGUGAACUUUAGAGAGGCGUGGAUGGAAAUGCGACAACGCAUUAAAGCACACAGAAGACCAAGAAGCUGUCCUGGGACGCUGGGAAGAAUGGAUGUCUCCUGUCCUUUGUCACAUGUUCUGUCAUCAUACCAUUGCCAAGUGACAGCUCUGCGAUAUUCUCCUCGAGAAUCCUUGGCUGCCUACGACCAAUGAAACAACCAGGAACAGCUCUGAUAAUCUCCUUCAUCCACGUUGUGGUUUUUCUUUCACCAUCCAUUACAAGUGUGUGACGGGUUACAGACGAGUUGAGACGGGAGAACAAUGUGUUGUGACCCUCCGUGCUGCCCUCCAGCUCAGCGCCUUGCACCAACUCCUUUUCCCAGCGGGUCGUGGGGGGCCUGGCCACCACCCCUCUCUGAACGCCUUCCUCUCCACCCCCGGCCCCUCCCCCACCACCAGAAUCAAUCGCUCUGCGACACCAUACAAACGAUCCACUGAAGUCCAUGCAUCACAGUACAGUGCACCACCAACAAUGAUCGGCCAUGUGGCUCAGCACUGAGAGAGAGAGAGAGAGGCAGUGAGAAUAAGAUGGAGAGUCAUUAUGGGUGAAUGGAAAACUGAACUGGAAGAGGAAAGCCGAAAAUGGAGGACAAAAAAAUAAAGAGACACAUUGUGUGCAUGUUAGGACUUAACAGUUUGAGUACCUUGCUGGAUAAUCAUCUGAAGAAGGUGCCAGAAAGUCCAGCCUCCCUGGUUGUGUAACAGUUUGGUCCAAGAUACGACAAAACAGUCAGACAUGCUUUUUACAGCUUGGAGGAUGUGGCAGUAGAGGAAGUUCGGUGUCAUGGGUCAAUGUCACUCCGCCAGCCAUCCACUCAACGCAUGUGGAUCACUGAGAUGAGACCUCCCAGUUGCUUUCUCGCACUGGUCCUUCCUUGCACUGAUGGGUGGUUUAACAUACAACAACUAGUCUACCCAGUGCACGGAGUCCUCCUCUCCGCCUUGGGAAGACUGGCAGUUGGGGAACGCAGAUGCACACAGAUGCGAGUGCAGGAGGCCGAGAUGAGAGGAGGGAUCGUGGGGACGAGGGGAGACGGCGUGGCGGAGGAUUGUGUAACUUCGUUAAAGUGAUGAGGCAGACGUCCUAAGUGACCCACCUCAGAUGUGAGCGUUGUUCUCUGUGCGCUGAAGUGCACACGAGAGGACACGAGCAGAGAAGGCGUUCAUGCUCACACUUUGGUUGGCUUCUGCUCUUAAGUCAGCUCAAACGACCGCUGCCUUUCAGUACUUUUUGAGAGUUUGCUAAAUGAACUAGUUUUAAAGAUGAUCAUGAUGGUGGAGAUUGUACUGGAAUAAUAGCUCUUUAUUGUUAGGGUAUAAACUUUGGAUGCCUUAUCAUUUUUCCUGUUUAUACAACAUGAAAAAAAUCCAUAGAGGAGUAUAUUCUGCGAGUGACAUUAAUAUAUGAUGCGUGUAAAGGUAACAAUUAAGAAAUCAGAAUUUCCUUGGAAGCUUAAUAGUAAUUUGCUCUGACAGUUUCAUUUAGUUGGCUAUGUUGAUAGAGAGAGACAGAUUUUUUUUCCUUGAAACAACCACUAAAGGAAAAAAAAAAAAGCUUUUCAAAAGAUUUUUGCACAAAUUUUAGUGUGCGGAUGCUUUUUGCCAUCCAGUCUGAUCUUUCAUCCGGCACCUCAGCUAAACCGGAGACCAGAUGAGCAUCUUAAAAUCCUUUAAACUCACACAAAUGUUCAUUCGUUAAACUUCAUCCUCCUCCAUUGUAUGGGAACUGUGUUAGUUUGUAAUUGAGUAACUGCACAGAAAAACUCAUUUUACAUUAUCACGUGUUCAUGAGCAGCUGAGCGCACAAAGAAAAAAAACACAAACAAAUCAAAGAAUGAAUAGCAUGUAAUACAAACAGCAGUUAUGCAUAAAACUGAAGUUCUUCAAAUGAAAUAUUACGCAUUUUCCAUCUUUUGGCGCUUUAUUAAUUUGUAAUGAUUUUUUAGUACCUUAUUAGGUCAUUUUGGAUCUGGCUGGGUCACCUGACUGCAAUAUUUGGUUUCUCAUGAGAGAGUGACUUCAUAACAUCAGCUAAAUAUACAAAUACAGCCUUAAAUACUCUUAACAACAUCUGAAUUCACCUCAGCUGGUUUCAAACCUCACUGGUUCCUGCACACACAUACACAU